AAGCCAUUUCCCUAUUAAAAGAAUAGGAAAAUAGCACCAUCAUUUUUCCGCUGCAACUAAGAAUAAUUACUGAGCAGAAAUCUAGGCAUAUUGUCCUGGGUUUGUAGCCAAACUCCAUUGUAUAUUAUUCUGAGCCACAUGUUAGCACAACGGACUACACAGCCAUAAAUCCAUUUAAAGUUGUUCCACAUUGAUAGCGCAUAUAUAUGAAAAUUAAGAUUGCACUUAUCUGGCUGCUGAUAUGAUUGGAAAUCUUUUCUUCUUCCAUUUCAGAAUUCAAAGAAAUAAUGCAAUAGUCUUGCGGUAAUUCCACUGGGUAGAAAGGCGUCAUUAUUUCAGACACAAACAAAUAAAACCCUUAUGCUGUCAUAUUAAAAAAAACCAUCAUCAUUCGCCCUGCAAAAGGGACAGUCGUCUUCUCCUAAGGUUCCUCCAGUUGACUAUUUGUCUAAAAAUGAGUAAAAAUGUUUAUAAAGGCAGUUGUAUGUUACUUCCAAAGGCACCAGUGUUCAAUCUCCACGUUGUUCUCACGGUGCACACGUUUUAUUAGUCGCUUACUUACAGAUGCAAAUGCUAGCUUGAAUUUGACAGUCCUUACGAGUAUCCAUUUCCUUUAUUUAAUUGAACUUUAUGUUCAGAAAAGAUACAGCAUUUACAUUUCAAAUCCUAUCAUACUACUUAAUCCAUUUUUCUGGUGCUAGAUUUGCAUUUAAUUCAGGAUUUGAAUUAGGCUCAACUUCAUUGUUCCAAGUAAUAGAGUUUAUUAGGAUGGAUAUGCACAAUAUUGCACAUAAUGAAAAUGUGAGAAACAGAAAGCUAAAUUGCAAAGCCAACAAUGGAGCAAAAAAGACCAGCAAUUUUGGAUGACUCCAUUUUGUGAGGCCAACGUGUCUCCAAGGCCUAGUUUUCAAAAAGCGUCACUAGUGCUGAGAAGAUCUGUCAUAAUUUCUUACUAAUCAGACUAAGUCUGGAAAACACACCCUGUAGAUUUACAGAACUGAUGUCAAACUCCUUGACUAAUUGAAAAGAAAAUUAAAUUCUUCCAUUCUCAGAAAUGUUACGGCUUUCUUUUCAUAUUUGCUACACUACAAUAAGACAAACUGUCCUAAAACUUAAGAUCAGUACCUUAAGGAAACACCUCUCACAUUAAUACAACUCUAAUAAAUCUUAGGAGGCUGCCUUCUCAAUUGCUUACAUGUAUGAGAGAUUUUUGCUAUUUGGUGUUAAAAAUAGGCUUCAUAAAGUAGGAAGAGGAAGAAAAAAAUCUUAAAAAAUUAUCUGGAAAUUGAUUCCUUUGUUUAGCAUAAAAUGAGACUAAAAAAUGAAACGAGUGCGCUUUUAAGCUAUUCUUAAACAAGAGGAUGUAUUUUAAGAAAAAACUAAAUAACCAGCAGAUGUGGAUCAGUAUUUCUGUAAAUAAAAAUUAACUUCUUAUUUCUAGGUACAUGGCUUAAGAUUGAAACGAAUUUCCAGCUACCUGUCUUAUGCAUCACUAAAAUGUAAAAGAUUAUACGACUGCGUCCUUCCCUUGUUGUCCAGAACUAAACAAUCUGCAGGACACUGGUUGACUGCAGAGACUAACAGAGCAUUGAAACAGCUUUGCAGUGAGGUCAUACACACGUCAUACACCUCAGCUCACCCGAGCGCGUCCUGAUGUGCGAGGAGAGCAGAGCGGAGAGAAUGGGGGAAGAGCGAGCCCAGGGAUCUGGAUCUUUGGCCCUGGCUGGUGACCUCAAUGCAAAGCUACUGUCUGGAGGGAAGAGAGACUUGGACAAAGAAUCUACGUUAAAUGUGUUCAAAAAUGCUGCUGCUGAUCGGCAGUUUGACCUUGAAGCUGCCAUUAAAAAUGUUGAGAAAAUGUCCAAUGAGCUGAAGAAACUAAACGUGGAAAGCCAGCUGCUGCUUUGUGACCUUAUUUUGAAUUUCAGCCAUCCUGUGAAGGCCAAAGAUUUAAGAGAAGCUGAAGAAAAAACUUGGAGUUUGACAGAUUAAGUAGUAACAUCCAGUUUUACGCAUCGUAUUCUAUUAAUACUGCUUCCGUUUGAACCGUAAAAUGAUAGCAUGGUUUCCUGCAGUUAGGCUAUUUUUAUUUUAAACUGAAAAUGUGGAGUGGAAAAAUGCUAUAGGUAGGUUAUUGAUUUUGAGAGGUUUUUUUUAACCCAAAUUUCCCAAAUUAAGCCCACUAGAGCUGGAAAGACUGAUAACGUUAACUAGAAAGGUCAGGAAAACGGGCAUGAAGUUUUUCACGUUGGUUGUCUCCUUUUAAACAAAGACAUAUUGGAACAGUAACAAAAUAAUUUUAAAUUAUGUCAAGUCAUUGCUCUUUUACCUUAGUUAUGCUCUGGAAAAUGGGAUAAGAAACAGUCAGUAAAGGAGGAACUGCAACUUGUCAUUUGAUCUUCUUCCUCAUUCUAAAAAUGUUGCUGAGGAAGGGGCCAAAGAGCAGAUUACUUCUGGAAAACCAAAAGUACUUUCGUUCUAGUUUCUGUAGUGACUUUCUAACGCGCCUUGCUAGAAAAGAAAGAAAGAGUGAGACAUCUCAAUACUCUGUCCUGAAAUCUUCUUGGCCCCAAAUUUGAGUAGCCAAUGUUUUCCUGUGGUUCAUUACAUUUAAUAUUCAAUCACACUUUACUUCUGCACGUGUUUGAAUGUUGAGUUGUGUUUUCCUUCAUAUGCAAAAUAUACUUAUCUGAAUAAUCAAAUCAAAAUUUACUGUGCUGAAAAAAAAUAUGCAACGUUGUCAUUCAUUAUGCUGGUUUGUAUUUUAUUGCUGUUUCACUAAUCAGAUGAUUUAAAACAAAUAAAGCACAAUUCCAUAGGAGGUAUUUCUGGGUUGUCAGGCUUUUCAAGGCAGUGCAAUGGAAUUACAAGCUCCAGCUCGCAGGUGAUAUGGGGAAUUUUGCUCUUCAUUCUAGCGUUUUUUUUAAAAACAUACAUUUUAACUGACUUUCCUUUCAGAAGAUUAGUAGUGAGCUCUUACAAAAUAUUGGGCUAGAAACUGGUUUUGUCAGCUGAAUAAUUUUUAAAAUUUUCUUUUUCUUUUUUCUUUUGACUCAUACUUGCAUGGAAAUGAAAUUUGCUAACUUUGAAUUCCAGCUCCUGGCUAAAUAUAUUAGAAAGGAAGAUAAUAUUUACAAAACAUAUAUAUUAAAGUAAAACCGUUCUGAUUAUCUUAUCUGAGAAGCUGUACAGACUACAUGGAAGAUCGUUCUCUGCUUUGAAUGCUUCAAGUGGUGUACACACAAAUGGCUUUGAAGGAGAAAAAGCAUGACAAAAUCUAACAUAAUUAUCAAACCAAGAUCUUGUCAGAAAACAAAAGUCAAUAGAAAAC